UAGGAUGUAGCUCAGUGGCAUGGCACCUGCCUCGAAAGCAUAAGGUCCUGAGUUCGAUUCCCAGUAUCGGAA
rnacentral:tRNA from 1 species